rnacentral:rRNA from 1 species
AGUGAACGCUGGCGGUAGGCCUAACACAUGCAAGUCGAACGGCAGCACAGUAAGAGCUUGCUCUUACGGGUGGCGAGUGGCGGACGGGUGAGGAAUACAUCGGAAUCUACUUUUUCGUGGGGGAUAACGUAGGGAAACUUACGCUAAUACCGCAUACGACCUACGGGUGAAAGCAGGGGAUCUUCGGAUCUUGCGCGAUUGAAUGAGCCGAUGUCGGAUUAGCUAGUUGGCGGGGUAAAGGCCCACCAAGGCGACGAUCCGUAGCUGGUCUGAGAGGAUGAUCAGCCACACUGGAACUGAGACACGGUCCAGACUCCUACGGGAGGCAGCAGUGGGGAAUAUUGGACAAUGGGCGCAAGCCUGAUCCAGCCAUACCGCGUGUGUGAAGAAGGCCUUCGGGUUGUAAAGCCCUUUUGUUGGGAAAGAAAAGCAGCAGGUUAAUACCCCGCUGUCCUGACGGUACCCAAAGAAUAAGCACCGGCUAACUUCGUG